GAUGAACGCUGGCGGCGUGCCUAAUACAUGCAAGUCGAGCGAACGUACGAGAAGCUUGCUUUUCUGAUGUUAGCGGCGGACGGGUGAGUAACACGUGGAUAACCUACCUAUAAGACUGGGAUAACUUCGGGAAACCGGAGCUAAUACCUGAUAAUAUUUUGAACCGCAUGGUUCAAAAGUGAAAGACGGUCUUGCUGUCACUUAUAGAUGGAUCCGCGCUGCAUUAGCUAGUUGGUAAGGUAACGGCUUACCAAGGCAACGACGCAUAGCCGACCUGAGAGGGUGAUCGGCCACACUGGAACUGAGACACGGUCCAGACUCCUACGGGAGGCAGCAGUAGGGAAUCUUCCGCAAUGGGCGAAAGCCUGACGGAGCAACGCCGCGUGAGUGAUGAAGGUCUUCGGAUCGUAAAACUCUGUUAUUAGGGAAGAACAUAUGUGUAAGUAACUGUGCACAUCUUGACGGUACCUAAUCAGAAAGCCACGGCUAACUACGUG
rnacentral:rRNA from 1 species